rnacentral:rRNA from 1 species
GUAGGGAAUCUUCGGCAAUGGACGAAAGUCUGACCGAGCAACGCCGCGUGAGUGAAGAAGGUUUUCGGAUCGUAAAACUCUGUUGUUAGAGAAGAACAAGGGUGAGAGUAACUGUUCACCCCUUGACGGUAUCUAACCAGAAAGCCACGGCUAACUACGUGCUAG